AGCUGUUUUUGGACUACGGUUCCCACCAUUCCUGACCACUGGCCAAGCUGGUUGGGGAUGAUGGGAGUUGUAGUCCAAAAACAGCU